CAGCGCCACGAGUGGUAACCGCGAUUAUUGGGCCUAAAGCGUCCGUAGCAGGUUUGACAAAUCUUUUGUGAAAUUGUGCGGCUUAACCGUACAACGUGCAAGAGACACUAUCAAACUCGAGAUCGGGAGGAGUCGGAAGUAUUCCAGGGGGAGCGGUAAAAUGUUAUAAUCCCUGGAGGACUACCUAUGGCGAAGGCAUCUGACCAGAACGAAUCUGACUGUGAGGGACGAAAGCCAGGGGAGCGAACCGGAUUAGAUACCCGAGUAGUCC
rnacentral:rRNA from 1 species